rnacentral:rRNA from 1 species
UGGGGAAUCUUCCGCAAUGGACGAAAGUCUGACGGAGCAACGCCGCGUGAAUGAUGAAGGCCUUCGGGUUGUAAAGUUCUGUCUUCAGGGAAGAAACAAAUGACGGUACCUGAGGAGGAAGCCCCGGCUAACUACGUGCCAGCAGCCGCGGUAAUACGUAGGGGGCAAGCGUUGUCCGGAAUUACUGGGCGUAAAGAGCGUGUAGGCGGAUUUUUAAGUCAGAUGUGAAACCUCCGGGCUCAACUUGGAGCAUGCAUCUGAUACUGGAAGUCUUGAGGGUAUGAGAGGAAAACGGUAUUCCUAGUGUAGCGGUGAAAUGCGUAGAUAUUAGGAGGAACACCAGUGGCGAAGGCGGUUUUCUGGCAUACAACUGACGCUGAGACGCGAAAGCGUGGGGAGCAAACA